rnacentral:rRNA from 1 species
UACGGGGGGGGCAAGCGUUGUUCGGAAUUACUGGGCGUAAAGGGCUCGUAGGCGGCCAACUAAGUCGGACGUGAAAUCCCCAGGCUCAACCUGGGAACUGCGUCCGAUACUGGAUGGCUUGAAUCCGGGAGAGGGAUGCAGAAUUCCAGGUGUAGCGGUGAAAUGCGUAGAUAUCAGGAGGAACACCGGCGGCGUAGACGGCUUGCUAGACCAUAACUGACGCUGAGGCACGAAAGCGUGGGUAGCAAACAGG